rnacentral:rRNA from 1 species
UGGGGAAUAUUGCACAAUGGAGGGAACUCUGAUGCAGCGACGCCGCGUGAGUGAUGAAGGAAUUCGUUUCGUAAAACUCUGUUCUAUGGGAAGAAAAGGACUGUACCAUAGGAGAAAGCUCCGGCUAAAUACGUGCCAGCAGCCGCGGUAAUACGUAUGGAGCGAGCGUUGUCCGGAAUUAUUGGGCGUAAAGGGCUUGUAGGCGGUUUGUCGCGCCUGUCGUGUAAUCCUCUGGCUUAACUGGGGGUGUGCGGUGGGUACGGGCAAGCUUGAGUGCGGUAGGGGAGAUUGGAAUUCCUGGUGUAGCGGUGGAAUGCGCAGAUAUCAGGAGGAACACCGGUGGCGAAGGCGGGUCUCUGGGCCGUUACUGACGCUGAGGAGCGAAAGCGUGGGGAGCGAACAGG